rnacentral:lncRNA from 1 species
UCUCACCAAGUAAGCAUUUUAUCAUCUCAUUAUCACCACAAAGGUGCAUGAUGAAAUGUAUGAAAUGAUAUAAUGUCUGGGAUUUGCUUGAAAAUAAUCACAGUUGUGGGAGGAAGUAAGAAUACAGACAAAACAACAAACAAGAUUGGGCAGGAGCUGACCGUUGUUUAAGAUGAUCACAGAUAUAAGACGUUCUGACAAAGAUUUCCUGAAAAGAUACAGGGUUGAAAGAAGCAAGCAAUUUCAGCUGCUGCCCAACACAGGAGAAAAAGUUUGGAGCCCAGCUGUCUGGAGAAUAUGUUCCUUUUGAGCUAUAUAUAGCCUUGAUAUAUACUUU